rnacentral:rRNA from 1 species
UACGGAGGGGGCGAGCGUUGUCCGAAGUUACUGGGCGUAAAGCGCGCGUAGGCGGGUGGGUAAGUCCGCUGUGAAAGCCCGGAGCUUAACUCCGGAGGGUCGGUGGAUACUGCCCAUCUUGAAGGUGCUAGGGGGAGAUGGAAUUACCGGUGUAGCGGUGAAAUGCGUAGAGAUCGGUAGGAACACCAGUGGCGAAGGCGGUCUCCUGGAGCAUACUUGACGCUGAGGCGCGAAAGCUAGGGGAGCAAACAGG